CUGAUGCGUUGUUGGGUAGGGGAGCGUUCUGUAAGCCUGCGAAGGUGUGCUGUGAGGCAUGCUGGAGGUAUCAGAAGUGCGAAUGCUGACAUAAGUAACGAUAAAGCGGGUGAAAAGCCCGCUCGCCGGAAGACCAAGGGUUCCUGUCCAACGUUAAUCGGGGCAGGGUGAGUCGACCCCUAAGGCGAGGCCGAAAGGCGUAGUCGAUGGGAAACAGGUUAAUAUUCCUGUACUUGGUGUUACUGCGAAGGGGGGACGGAGAAGGCUAUGUUGGCCGGGCGACGGUUGUCCCGGUUUAAGCGUGUAGGCUGGUUUUCCAGGCAAAUCCGGAAAAUCAAGGCUGAGGCGUGAUGACGAGGCACUACGGUGCUGAAGCAACAAAUGCCCUGCUUCCAGGAAAAGCCUCUAAGCAUCAGGUAACAUCAAAUCGUACCCCAAACCGACACAGGUGGUCAGGUAGAGAAUACCAAGGCGCUUGAGAGAACUCGGGUGAAGGAACUAGGCAAAAUGGUGCCGUAACUUCGGGAGAA
rnacentral:rRNA from 1 species